ensembl:lncRNA
GCUGAGCCCCAACUCCUCUGUGAUGUCAGACUGGGCUCCAUCUCCCCUCUGACCCCAAGACAGGCCUCUGUCACACUGUGGCUCCCUCCAGGUGCGUUCUUGUGGCCAUGUACAGCUGUGUGCCUCAUGCACAACAGCACUUUGUGUGAAUCAUGUGCUUGUGUGACAGGUGUGUGCCCGUGUUGGAGACUGUGGCCACUUCACACCCUUGGGACCCCCAAAGGCCAUCCUGUGAGAAUUCCAUACCCUCCUGUCUGUUGCUGGGCCUUUGGGUCUGGCUCUUGUCUCCUCUUGGGGAACUCCAGCAGAUGCCUCUGCUGCCUGUACCCACAGUGUCCCUGGGUUGUGGCCUUGUGUGAUGCAGGAUGCAGGGGUGGCGCCAGAACUGUCUCAUGCCUCACCCUUGCUGUCAUCCUGAGCAUCCUGAGUCUCCCCAGCUCAGGAGACCCUCAGGUCAUCACAGGAAGAAGGCGCAUGGAGCAGCAGAGCCAGGCUGAGCACCUGGACCCAGCAGUGACUGCAGUCCAAAACUGCACACCGGAUCUGGUUAGCGGGUCAUUAAGUGCCUUAUUUGUGCAAGCCAGCUGAUUCCCUUUCCAUCAACAGCCGAAGGACACUGAGGCAGCAAGUGACAGGGAAACGCAGAUCAAAACUCACACCUCACACCCACGGCCGUCUACAGCCAAGAGAAUGGAAGAUGGCGGGCGUCCGGGAGGCAGUGGAGAGCAGGAUGGGCACAUGCUGCGGUGGGAAUGAGACACGGAGCUGCCAGCGUGGAAAACAGCCUGGCGAUUCCUCAAAAGGGCACCACGGAAUUGCCUGUCACCCCACCAUCCUGCUUCUGGGAAUCCCGAAAAGAAGGGAGAGCUGUCACUCAGGUAAAUGCUUGUGUAGUGAUGUUUACUCCAGCACUGUUCACAGCAGCCUACAGCAGAGCAGUGUGGUCUGUUCACACACCAGAGCAUUGCUCGGCCAGGACAGGAGUGAGUCUGUGAUACUUGCCCCAGUAGGGACCUCAGGGAUGCUGUGGUCAGUGACAGAUGACAGACACAGAGGACACAGCUCGGGCUCCAUGGAAAGAAACGCCCAGGACAGGGGAACCCAGAGACAGGAAGUGGACUCGGGGGUGCCG